CUGGUAGCUCGUCGGGCUCAUAACCCGAAGGUCGUUGGUUCAAAUCCAGCUCCCGCUACCA
rnacentral:tRNA from 1 species